rnacentral:sRNA from 1 species
AAAAGGGGAGACGCUCUGCUAUUUUGGAGCAUGAGGCCUGAUGCCUCAUUAGAUCCAUCUAGUUUACAUGGUGGUUGUCCAGUAAUUAAAGGAAAUAAAUGGUCUUCGACAAAGUGGAUGCAUCUCCAUGAGUACAAGGUUUAAGCCAUCGUCUUUGCAGGAUUAAUGUGGUAUACUGAGUAUUUCAUCGCUUUUUUGGACUGGAGAAACACAGGGUCAAUGCAUUCAUAUUAACCUCUUAUACCUGGUGAUG